CUAUCUCUGAUUCUUAUAUGGAAGAAGGGCUUUUUGUUGGGAAAAUAAAGGAAGUUUGAUAGUAUCUAAUUGAGUAAGGCUGCCAUGUACUUUUUAGUCCGUAAUUUUCAAUUGGACAAUAAUUCUGAUUCUUCUUUUUAUUUAGUCUUUUUGGUUUCUUCCGCAUGCCUGAAGUUAAAUUGCUAUAUAUAGGUUUACCAAAUAGGCCAUACAACAAUGCUUUUCUUCUCGUAUAUCAAUCGCUCUCGAACUGCUUCCAACCAGUUUUCCUGGUGUACGAUGGCGAAGGAAUGUACUACAAGUUUCUAAGAGUUUGUCUGAAAAAGAAGGGUUGAAACUAAUGGCUUAGGCUGAAGACAAUGAGGAUAAUUUAAAAGGCCAAAAUCGUGUGAAAUGUGAAUAUCAAUUAGUCGAGUGGCUUGGUGCAGAAAGCUAAUCCUUGAAAUUCAUCUAACCAACUAAUUUCAAUGCAUUAUAGCAAGCCAACAGGCACCAGUAGUCUAGGAUGGGAAAUUGCAGCAUCACUUAGACAACAUCAUCGUCAUUUACUUGCGAAGAAUGGCGGCUCUCAGUCGCUUAAAUCUCCUGAAAGUUACUUUAACUCAAUGGAGUAUGAUGAUUGAUCUAUGGCCUUGGAAACUAGUAUGGAAGACAAAACUGCCACCCAAAGUCUGCUGCUUCAGCUGGUUGGCCUUAAAGGAUGCAUGCCUCACCCAAGACAACCUCACCAGAAGAAAUUUUCCACUGGCCAACAGGUGUUACAUGUGUCAAGUGAACUCAGAAUGUGUUAACCAUCUUCUCCUACAUUGUUCAGUAGCCACAGACAUAUGGAACAUGUUUCUUAGUAUUUUUGGUCUACACUGGACUAUGCCAUUCAAUGCCAGAGAGGCAUAUGUGAGCUGGAGCUCAAGGGAAGUUGACAGAACCAUCAAGAAUGUCUGGAAUAUGGUACCUGCAAGCAUUUUUUGGUGUAUCUGGGUCGAAAGGAAUAGUAGAUGUUUUGAUGGAUUAUCAACUUCAAUAGGUUGCUUAAAAAGGCUAGAUGUUUGGUUAAUUUGUUUCACUGGGCUAACCUUACUACUGUAAACAACUCUGAUGUUUUUUUGGAUUUGUCAGCUCUUUAGUUUUGUAGCACUCAACUGUAAAUGAGUUGUCAAACUCACUUCUUUUGUAACUUUUGCAUCUUCCUGAUGCAUUUUAUGAUAUAUUCUACUUACUUCAUAAAAAAAAAA